rnacentral:rRNA from 1 species
ACGCUAGCUACAGGCUUAACACAUGCAAGUCGAGGGGAAACGGCAUUUAGUGCUUGCACUGAAUGGACGUCGACCGGCGCACGGGUGAGUAACGCGUAUCCAACCUACCCAUUACUGUGGGAUAACCUGCCGAAAGGCAGACUAAUACCGCAUAGUCUUCGAUGACGGCAUCAGAUUUGAAGUAAAGAUUUAUCGGUAAUGGAUGGGGAUGCGUCUGAUUAGCUUGUUGGCGGGGUAACGGCCCACCAAGGCAACGAUCAGUAGGGGUUCUGAGAGGAAGGUCCCCCACAUUGGAACUGAGACACGGUCCAAACUCCUACGGGAGGCAGCAGUGAGGAAUAUUGGUCAAUGGGCGGGAGCCUGAACCAGCCAAGUAGCGUGCAGGAUGACGGCCCUAUGGGUUGUAAACUGCUUUUGUAUGGGGAUAAAGUCAAUCACGUGUGAUUGUUUGCAGGUACCAUACGAAUAAGGACCGGCUAAUUCCGUGCCAGCAGCCGCGGUAAUACGGAAGGUCCGGGCGUUAUCCGGAUUUAUUGGGUUUAAAGGGAGCGUAGGCCGGAGAUUAAGUGUGUUGUGAAAUGUAGACGCUCAACGUCUGACUUGCAGCGCAUACUGGUUUCCUUGAGUACGCACAACGUUGGCGGAAUUCGUCGUGUAGCGGUGAAAUGCUUAGAUAUGACGAAGAACUCCGAUUGCGAAGGCAGCUGACGGGAGCGCAACUGACGCUUAAGCUCGAAGGUGCGGGUAUCGAACAGGAUUAGAUACCCUGGUAGUCCGCACAGUAAACGAUGGAUGCCCGCUGUUGGUACCUGGUAUCAGCGGCUAAGCGAAAGCAUUAAGCAUCCCACCUGGGGAGUACGCCGGCAACGGUGAAACUCAAAGGAAUUGACGGGGGCCCGCA